GUGUGUGUUCGUGCACAGAUUGUAGUUUAUAGUUAGAAGGACAAAGAUAACAAGAAAACAGGUGUCCAUGCAGAUAGGUAUAUUCACAUACAUAAAAGUAAAGAAGUCAGCCAGGCAUGAUGGCGCACGCCUUUGAUCCCAGCCCUUGGGAGGCAGAGGCAGGCGGAUUUCUGAGUUCUAGGCCAGCCUGGUCUACAAAGUGAGUUCCAGGACAGCUAGGGCUACACAGAGAAACCCUGUCUCAAAAAACCAAAAAUAAAUAAAUAAAUAAAUAAAUAGAAAAAGUAAAUAAAUCUUUUUUCUUUAAAAGCACUCUGAAAAUCUCAAACACAGUGAGUUUCAUAUUUAUAAUCCUCUCAUUUUAAAUAAGUAAGUAAAAGUUACAUUUUACUUCUCUAUAAUACUCUGUUCUCUAACUGGAAGUUUACAAGCAUACAACUUCAUGGUAACCCCGUUAUGAUAACAAGGCUUUGUACACAAGACUGCACAAAAUGAGAGGGGCUUCUUUCACAGCCUAUUUGGAGUAGCAUAAAAGCUUCUUACAGUAUUAUUUUUUAAUGAUUUUAAAUGUUUAUUCUUACUUAUGCGACUGUGUACCUAUAUGCCUCAUGUGUGUAAGUCCUGUGGAAGCCAGAGGAGGGUGGACGAUGCCCUGGAGCUGGGCUUACAAGCAGUUGUGAGCUUCUUGAGGUGGGAGUUGAACCCAGUUCCCCCGGAACCACAGCAAGCUCUUUUAACGCUGAGCCAUCUCUCCAACCCCACUUAGGUAAAUCCUGGUAAGAGUAUGUCCAAAAGCAGAAAAGAAAUUCCUGGGGCUUAUAUAUUGUGAGUCUUAGAACUCUUGCUUGCCUGUGCCUAGGAUUCUUUGUGUACUUAACAUUUCUAGUAAGCUUUCGAUUGUCUAAUCUCUGAUAUUUGACAGCGGGACUUGGAUCCAAUGUUUUGUGUUACCCCAGUGUAACAGGCAACAAACAAGGAAAAAGCAAAAUGCUAACUAUGGACUCAAAGGCCGACGUGCCUCCUGGUCUCAUAACUGCUUACUAAUGUUAUGUCGGCGACUUCCCUCAAAGCUGAAGCUCUCACCUCUGCUGUAGCCCUCGUAUGCAAUAGGAAAGACGCCUCUAUGAUGUGCACAGUUACAUAAGCGUCCCGUGAGUCAGAAGAGGACAGUGGGCAGGAACCACGGCUUACUUUUCUCCUGCAGAGCCUGCAGCUUGUUCAGCUCCUCAUUUUCUUCAUCACUGUCCUCACUACUGGUGCUGCUGACGUCCAACACAAUGUCCCUUUUGGGAUCUACCCGGAGAAAAUUGCGGCACUCGAAAGUCAGAUGACCAGCUAAAUAAAGAAAACAAGAGAGAAGGAGGAAAACUACACCCAUAGCUGUGCUUUUUGCUUUGGUACUUCACAGUAGGCAACCGAGUACCGUAACACCACCAAAGCCUCACUUGUACUCGGCUGCGGGCGGUUACUACUGUUCCCUAUGGUUUUGAGUGAUACACACUUCCAACAGAACUUUCUCCUUCUUCAUUGCAACUUCUAAUUCAAGAAACACUGUGGCCGGGCAUGGUGGCGCCCACGCCUUUAAUCCCAGCACUUGGGAGGCAGAGGCAGGCGAAUUUCUGAGUUCGAGGCCAGCCUGGUCUACAAAGUGAGUUCCAGGACAGCCAGGGCUACACAGAGAAACCCUGUCUCAAAAAAAACAAAAAACAAAACAAAACAAAACAAAAAUGAAACAUUGUGGGGC
rnacentral:lncRNA from 1 species